rnacentral:rRNA from 1 species
AUUGAACGCUGGCGGAAUGCUUUACACAUGCAAGUCGAACGGUAGAGGGGGCAACCCCCUUGAGAGUGGCGAACGGGUGAGUAAUAUAUCGGAACGUGCCCAGUCAUGGGGGAUAACGUAGCGAAAGUUACGCUAAUACCGCAUACGAUCUAAGGAUGAAAGCGGGGGAUCGCAAGACCUCGCGCGAUUGGAGCGGCCGAUAUCAGAUUAGGUAGUUGGUGAGGUAAAGGCUCACCAAGCCAACGAUCUGUAGCUGGUCUGAGAGGACGACCAGCACACUGGAACUGAGACACGGUCCAGACUCCUACGGGAGGCAGCAGUGGGGAAUUUUGGACAAUGGGCGCAAGCCUGAUCCAGCAAUGCCGCGUGCAGGAUGAAGGCCUUCGG